rnacentral:rRNA from 1 species
UGGGGAAUAUUGCACAAUGGGCGAAAGCCUGAUGCAGCAACGCCGCGUGAGUGAUGAAGGUCUUCGGAUUGUAAAGCUCUGUCUUUUGGGACGAUAAUGACGGUACCAAAGGAGGAAGCCACGGCUAACUACGUGCCAGCAGCCGCGGUAAUACGUAGGUGGCGAGCGUUGUCCGGAUUUACUGGGCGUAAAGGGUGCGUAGGCGGAUGUUUAAGUGAGAUGUGAAAUACCCGGGCUUAACUUGGGUGCUGCAUUUCAAACUGGAUAUCUAGAGUGCAGGAGAGGAGAAUGGAACUCCUAGUGUAGCGGUGAAAUGCGUAGAGAUUAGGAAGAACACCAGUGGCGAAGGCGAUUCUCUGGACUGUAACUGACGCUGAGGCACGAAAGCGUGGGUAGCAAACAGGAUUAGAUACCCUGGUAGUCCACGCCGUAAACGAUGAGUACUAGGUGUAGGAGGUAUCGACCCCUUCUGUGCCGCAGUAAACACAUUAAGUACUCCGCCUGGGAAGUACGAUCGCAAGAUUAAAAC